AUUGAACGCUGGCGGCAGGCCUAACACAUGCAAGUCGAACGAGUGGCGGACGGGUGAGUAAUGUCUGGGAAACUGCCUGAUGGAGGGGGAUAACUACUGGAAACGGUAGCUAAUACCGCAUACCAUCAGAUGUGCCCAGGUGGGAUUAGCUUGUUGGUGGGGUAACGGCUCACCAAGGCGAAGAUCCCUAGCUGGCCUGAGAGGAUGACCAGCCACACUGGGACUGAGACACGGCCCAGACUCCUACGGGAGGCAGCAGUAGGGAAUAUUGGACAAUGGGCGCAAGCCUGAUGGAGCCAUGCCGCGUGUGUGAAGAAGGCCUUCGGGUUGUAAAGUACUGUCAGCGGAGAGGCGUUACCCGCCGAAGAAGCAACGGCUAACUCCGUGCCAGCAGCCGCGGUAAUUC
rnacentral:rRNA from 1 species